GCAUGUGAGGGUGAUCUGGCUGUGAUAUCUGUCACCCCGUUGAUCUCCAGGGCUAAUUUGGAUGAUCUGGCUGGCUAGGUGGGUGUCCCCUUCCACCCUCAGUGCUCCAUGUACCUCUCUCCUGAAGCUGCGUGCUCAGUGGGAGAGGAUGACUCUUCCUGAGAGAGGAGGACCACUCCUCAGCAAGGAUAUAUGAGUAUGUUUGUGCCCCUGCUAGACCUUUGAAACAAGCUCUCAAACUCACAGGGACAGAUGAUGUGUGAAAAGGAACGGAGAAACAAGAGAAAGCACACCUGCCUGCUUGAGCUGGGGC
rnacentral:snRNA from 1 species